GUGGCGAGGGGGUAUAGGGGGAAAGGAGAGAGGGGGCCGUGGCCUUUAUAGGGACGCGGUCAGGGCUGCGAAAUAAGGACGGAGCGAGGAGAUCUCGGCGGGGAUGGCGCAGUGGCGUGAUGCGCAGGGUUUCCUUCGGGGAAGACGAAGGCCCUGACAGGUGGGCCCCACCUGUCAGCGACUCGCGGCGGGCGCUGGGCGCAGGGGCCGGCUGCAGGGCUGUAGCGCGCACGCGGGUAAGUGGGCCCGUUCAGCCCAAUUCGGCCCUGCCGGUCCGUUUCUUCCUGUUUUUUUCCUUUAACCUUUUCUCUUUUUCUUUUUUCUUAUUUCUUUGAUAUCUUUUGAUUUUGAACACCAAAUUCGUCCUAAUAAAUUCCAGAAAAUUUGUAAAAUCAUGUUCUAUCAUAAUUCAACUUUUGGGAGUAAUUUCCCCUCAAAAUAAAAUAUAUAAAAAUACAUUUGCCCUAUACAUACCUUUAGGGCUAUAUAACUACUUAAAUAAAAUAGUUUUCAACUCCAAAUAAUUAUCCAAAAAUUAUGGAAUAGCUCAUAUAUGCAAUAGACCCCUUUUAUAGAUAAACCUUAUUGGUUUUAAGAUCAAACUCAAAUGGGUGAAAACCUAGGGUUUAAAGUGAAAUAAAACCUUUUUAAAUCCUUUUGAGAUUCAAAUUUGAAUUCAAAUAUGCAAUUGUGGCAUGAUGCUCAUGGAUGCAAUGCAUAUGAAAGGUUUUGGAAUUUUGGGAUGUUACAGACCUAACCCUCUUAAGAUGAAUCUCGUCCUCGAGAUUCGGUUUCGCUAGCAAAGAGGUGCGGGUGGUCUUCUCGAAGAUCAUCUUCGCGUUCCCAUGUGGCUUCCUCUUUUGUGUGAUGUUCCCACUG
rnacentral:lncRNA from 1 species